GAUGAACGCUGGCGGCGUGCUUAACACAUGCCAGUCGAACGAAGCACUUUAUUUGAUUUCCUUCGGGACUGAUUAUUUUGUGACUGAGUGGCGGACGGGUGAGUAACGCGUGGGUAACCUGCCUUGUACAGGGGGAUAACAGUUGGAAACGGCUGCUAAUACCGCAUAAGCGCACGGCAUCGCAUGAUGCAGUGUGAAAAACUCCGGUGGUAUAAGAUGGACCCGCGUUGGAUUAGCUAGUUGGUGAGGUAACGGCCCACCAAGGCGACGAUCCAUAGCCGACCUGAGAGAGUGACCGGCCACAUUGGGACUGAGACACGGCCCAAACUCCUACGGGAGGCAGCAGUGGGGAAUAUUGCACAAUGGGCGAAAGCCUGAUGCAGCGACGCCGCGUGAGCGAAGAAGUAUUUCGGUAUGUAAAGCUCUAUCAGCAGGGAAGAUAAUGACGGUACCUGACUAAGAAGCACCGGCUAAAUACGUG
rnacentral:rRNA from 1 species